CGCACAGCCCUCUAGGGUAAGAAAACCAGGUCAAGACAAAGUCCAGUUUCAAAAAAGGCCUUUGGCCUGUUUAUUUUCUGUUGUUGUGAAGUAACAGGAUACAAUGAACAUCAAAUCUUCUUUCUCCACAAAACACCUUCUUUCUCCUCCAAAACACUUUCCUCACUUCACCCUGCUUUAACUGCAGUUAUAUAGCUGCUCACAGCCCCUACAGGUGAGGCUAAUGACCUCGUUAGGC